rnacentral:tRNA from 1 species
GGGCCCGUGGUCUAGUGGUUAUGACAUCACCCUGACACGGUGAAGGUCGUGGGUUCGAAUCCCACCGGGCCCACCA